CGUCCAUGAUCUGCGGGCAGAUGAAGUGCACGUGGCAGUCGAUGGCGCCGGCGGUGACGAUCUUGCCGUUGCCGGCGAUGACCUCCGUCGACGGCCCGAUCACGAGCUUCGGAUGCACCCCGGUCAUGGUGUCCGGGUUGCCGGCCUUGCCCAUCGCGACGAUGCGGCCGUCGCGAAUACCCAGGUCGGCCUUGAUGAUUCCCCAAUGGUCGAGGAUCACCACACCGGUGAUGACGGUGUCGGGGGCGCCCUCGGCGCGGGUGGCGCGGCUCUGGCCCAUCGACUCGCG
rnacentral:sRNA from 1 species